CUGAAGUGAGCACUUCAGAGCUGUAGGUGAAACUGUGUUUCUUCUUCUUCCUCUUCGACUUUGGCCCAUAACUUCCAUUUUGUGCACUUUUAUCCUCCAUUUAGCCCCAUAACUUUUGAUUGUGCAUUCCAGCCCCUGAAUAUGCAAUAUGUACAAAUACAACACCUAAUGACUCCUAAAUGCAAUCUUUAGACUCUAAAAUGACCAAAAUCAAUAGCUAAAAACAUGUAAAAACACUAUACAUCAACUCCCCCAAACUUGAUUCUUUACUUGUCCUCAAAUAAACUUUCAAGAAGAGUAAGAGAAAGAGGUUGAAAAUAGAGGAUAUAGAACAACAAAAUUCACAUUCAAGAUUCAACCCAAUGUCCUUCAACGUAGUUAUAAAUUGCAUCACCUAAACAAUCUAUCAAAUAUGAUUUAUCUUGGCAACACAACACCAAAUAUGAUUGAACUCAAGCAAUAACCUCAAAGCAACUCCCUACAUUCAUUUAGAUAUUAAGUGCAGUCUUGCAAAGGGAUUAUCAGUCAUUCUCAUUUGGUUAGGUUCAAAGGCUUUUGUGGGUGGUUCAUGGUUUUUGGUGACUUUCUCUCAAACAAGGAGCAAUUGACAUUACACAAAAUUUAUUUAAGAAAGAGAACAAUUCAUGCAUACAACAAUUGAUUCUCAUUGUUCUACCCAAUCCUAAGAUAUAUGCAAGUUCUACCCUUU
rnacentral:lncRNA from 1 species